ACAGAAAUCGAAAUCAUGGCAGAAGGUACGAUCUAGUUUCUUAUAAAGUUUCUAACAUCCGCCUCUCCCUCCUGCGCCCUGCCGCUCGGCCUCCCAUUCUUCUUCUUCGCCGUCGUCUUCUUCUCCACAUCCAGCCCGACCCCGUUCGUCGUGGCCGCUACCGCCGCGGCGGCGGAAUCGGGCUGGGGGUCCGCGGCGGCGGGGGAGAGGAGGAGGGGGUCGCGGGCGAUGGAGAGGAGGGUGAGGAGGGAAGCGAUGGUGAAGAAGAAGGCGACGGUCCGCUUCUUUUUUUUUCAGCGAGAAAAAAAAAAGAACGACAGAAACGAAGAGGAGAGAGAAAGAGGAAAGAGAAAAAGUAAUAAGGGUAUUUUGGUCAGUUUACUGACAGAGCGGACUGAAUCUGCAAAAACGAAAAAGAUGACCCGAUUUUGCAAAAGCCCAAAAUAAGUGGAUUUUUUAUGCAAAAAGGCCAUAAUUUAAUAAAUAAAAAUAAUAUAAUUACUUUUUAUAUAAUUAUAAUUUAAUUUAAAAUAAUUAAAUUAUUUUUUUAUACAUAAAUUAUAGUAAUACAAUAAUAAAAUUAUAAAUAAAAAAUUUAUUAAUAUUUAAUUAAUAAUAAAGAAAUAUUAAAACUUAAAUAAUCAAUUUUUAUCAUAUUUUAAAUAUGCCUACUGAAUAGAAGAGUAAUUAGUAUAAUAAUUAAAUAUAUUUAAAUAUAACUAUCUUUACCUAAUAUAUUAUUUUAUUAUUUUUUUCUUCAUCUUUCUUUACCAUAAUUGACUUCGGCUCACGAUAGGCCGAAAGUCAAUUAUACCGUUUUAAGUUAACUCGAGUUUCGACCGUAACUUUUUUACGGCGAAUCAAACAGCGAAAGUAAUCAUUUAUAGCGAAAAUGAUUUCCCCUUUCUUCACUUCCACCCGACUUCCAUCCAAACAAAUAUGCCCUCAGCAUGUGACCUUUUUUCUUCCUUUCAUCAAACUUUCAAUUAAUGCAUUUAAACGGUCCCACUAUCAAACUUCUAAUUAAUUCAUCUAAAUGGCCUCACUAGCAUCUUCAAUUCUCAUCUCUUAUUUUUCAAUUAAUUUAACGCGAUCCUUUUCUUUUUUACUACCAGGCUUUUAAUUAAUACAUCCAAACGGUCUACCGCAGUUACAAUCCUCGACUCUUUGUUUUUAGUUUAUUUAUCAAUUUUUUUCUCUCUCAU
rnacentral:lncRNA from 1 species